rnacentral:rRNA from 1 species
CUAGUACCGGCGAGUGAAGCGGCAACAGCUCAAAUUUGAAAUCUGAUCUCUUCGAGGUCCGAGUUGUAAUUUGUAGAGGGCGCUUUGGUGUUGGCUGCGGUCUAAGUUCCUUGGAACAGGACGUCAUAGAGGGUGAGAAUCCCGUCUGUGGUCGCAUGUCUUCACCGUGUAAAGCCCCUUCGACGAGUCGAGUUGUUUGGGAAUGCAGCUCUAAAUGGGAGGUAAAUUUCUUCUAAAGCUAAAUACUGGCCAGAGACCGAUAGCGCACAAGUAGAGUGAUCGAAAGAUGAAAAGCACUUUGGAAAGAGAGUCAAACAGCACGUGAAAUUGUUGAAAGGGAAGCGCUUGCAGCCAGACUUGCUUGCAGUUGCUCAUCCGGGCGUUCGCCCGGUGCACUCUUCUGUAGGCAGGCCAGCAUCAGUUUGGGCGGUUGGAUAAAGGCCUCUGUCAUGUAUCUUCUCCGGAAGACCUUAUAGGGGAGGCGUAAUGCAACCAGCCUGGACUGAGGUCCGCGCAUCUGCUAGGAUGCUGGCGUAAUGGCUGUAAGCGGCCCGUCUUGAAACACGGACCAAGGAGUCUAACAUCUAUGCGAGUGUUUGGGUGUCAAGCCCGAGCGCGUAAUGAAAGUGAACGGAGGUGGGAACCCUCGGGUGCACCAUCGACCGAUCCUGAUGUCUUCGGAUGGAUUUGAGUAAGAGCAUAGCUGUUGGGACCCGAAAGAUGGUGAACUAUGCUUGAAUAGGGUGAAGCCAGAGGAAACUCUGGUGGAGGCUCGCAGCGGUUCUGACGUGCAAAUCGAUCGUCAAAUUUGGGCAUAGGGGCGAAAG